rnacentral:rRNA from 1 species
AGAGUUUGAUCAUGGCUCAGAUUGAACGCUGGCGGAAUGCUUUACACAUGCAAGUCGAGCGGCAGCGCGGGGCAACCUGGCGGCGAGCGGCGAACGGGUGAGUAUUGCAUCGGAACAUGUCCAUGUCGUGGGGGAUAGCCCGGCGAAAGCCGGAUUAAUACCGCAUACGCCCGAGAGGGGAAAGCGGGGGACCGCAAGGCCUCGCGCGAUUGGGUUGGCCGAUGUCCGAUUAGCUUGUUGGUGAGGUAAAGGCUUACCAAGGCGAUGAUCGGUAGCUGGUCUGAGAGGAUGAUCAGCCACACUGGGACUGAGACACGGCCCAGACUCCUACGGGAGGCAGCAGUGGGGAAUAUUGGACAAUGGGCGCAAGCCUGAUCCAGCCAUGCCGCGUGUGUGAAGAAGGCCUUCGGGUUGUAAAGCACUUUUGUUGGGAAAGAAAAGCGGUCGGUUAAUACCCGGUCGUUCUGACGGUACCCAAAGAAUAAGCACCGGCUAACUACGUGCCAGCAGCCGCGGUAAUACGUAGGGUGCGGGCGUUAAUCGGAAUUACUGGGCGUAAAGCGUGCGCAGGCGGCUUCCUAAGUCAGAUGUGAAAUCCCCGGGCUUAACCUGGGAACUGCGUUUGAAACUGGGAGGCUAGAGUGCGGCAGAGGGAGGUGGAAUUCCACGUGUAGCAGUGAAAUGCGUAGAUAUGUGGAGGAACACCGAUGGCGAAGGC